CGGUUGAUCCUGCCGGAGGUCACUGCUAUUGGGAUUCGACUAAGCCAUGCGAGUCGAGAGGGUUCGGCCCUCGGCUGACGGCUCAGUAACACGUGGAUAAUCUGCCCUUAGGUGGAGGAUACCCUCGGGAAACUGAGAAUAAUACUCCAUAGGCCUAGGAUGCUGGAAUGCACCUAGGCUGAAAGUUCCGGCGCCUAAGGAUGAGUCUGCGGACUAUCAGGUUGUAGUCAGGGUAAAGACCUGACUAGCCUACGACGGAUACGGGUUGUGAGAGCAAUAACCCGGAGAUGAUAUCUGAGACACGAUAUCAGGCCCUACGGGGCGCAGCAGGCGCGAAAACUUCACACUGUGCGAAAGCACGAUGAGGGAAUCCCAAGUGCUUGCACGUAAGUGUAAGCUGUUUUUCUGUCUAAAACACAGAGAGAGUAAGAGCUGGGUAAGACGGGUGCCAGCCGCCGCGGUAAUACCUGCAGCUCAAGUGGUGGCCGCUAUUAUUGGGCCUAAAACGUUCGUAGCCGGUUUAGUAAAUGCCUGGGUAAAUCGUGUAGCUUAACUAUACGAAUUCCGGGUAGACUGCUGAACUUGAGACCGGGAGAGGCUAGAGGUACUCCUGGGGUAGAGGUGAAAUUCUGUAAUCCUAGGGGGACCACCAGUGGCGAANGCGUCUAGCUAGAACGGGUCUGACGGUGAGGGACGAAGCCCUGGGGCACAAACCGGAUUAGAUACCCGGGUAGUCCAGGGUGUAAACGCUGCUUGCUUGAUGUUAGUUGGGCUCCGAGCCCAACUAGUGUCGGAGAGAAGUUGUUAAGCAAGCUGCCUGGGAAGUACGGUCGCANGGCUGAAACUUAAAGGAAUUGGCGGGGGAGCAC
rnacentral:rRNA from 1 species